UACGAAGGGGGCUAGCGUUGUUCGGAUUUACUGGGCGUAAAGCGCACGUAGGCGGAUUGUUAAGUCAGGGGUGAAAUCCCGGAGCUCAACUCCGGAACUGCCUUUGAUACUGGCAAGCUAGAGUCCGGAAGAGGUAAGUGGAACUCCUAGUGUAGAGGUGGAAUUCGUAGAUAUUAGGAAGAACACCAGUGGCGAAGGCGGCUUACUGGUCCGGAACUGACGCUGAGGUGCGAAAGCGUGGGGAGCAAACAGG
rnacentral:rRNA from 1 species